UUACGUCACUUCUUAGUACACACUGUCGGUGCGAAUGCAACCCUUUAAAUGGUACUGGGAAAUAGUUCGAGCAAAAUCGUCCCAGUUCUUUAGUAUUGUACA